AAUAAGACUAUUUUUCAGUUUUUUAUACAAUGUUUUAGCUAUUCGUCUUAUUUGAAAUUCUUUUGUGAUUAAUAUCUUUGUUCUUACUAGAUGAUAAAACAUGAAUAGUACUUUAUGCGUAACUAAUUUUUUAAAGUUUUUUACAAAUUUUUCAAAUAAGACAAAUGGUCAAACGUUGGACAUGAAAAA
rnacentral:pre_miRNA from 1 species